UUACUGAUAUCAUGCAAAAGAACUCAUGACGAACCCGUGAUUCAGUCGCGGCUACGCAUGCAGGCGUGUCUGUACACAUACUUACCAGCCCUGAGACCUGGCGACAGUGGAGCAGCGCUCUAGGGAACCCGGCCAGCGGGCUGAUGUCCCACGGGCUCCACAGAGUCCUCCAUCAUUUGCAACCACUCUGACGCAAACAUGCUGCCAAACUGAAAUUGAGAACAUAGAAAACUUGACAGGACGAUAGGGAAAGAAGGGGAGGAGGGUACAUUAAAGAAGAUUGGAAAAGAACAAAGAAAAGUAGAGAUCAGUGUGGAAGGGCAACAUUUCUCAACCAUUAUCAGCACUACCAGCCUUGCAAGACAAGAUUCCCAGGGCCUUGUUCUGUCUUAACACUAUAAUACAAAACUCGAGAGCCAAUCUCUUACUCCACUGAGAAUCAAUUUGUUUAUGUCACUCAGUUUUCAUCCAGGCAGCCCUCUUUCCUGCCUUCUCCCUGCUCAUCCAGACCACAAUUACACUUGCUAUUUGGAAGACUCUUCCUUUGAAAGCAUUUAGAAGUAUAAAUAAUGCUUGGCCUGCUUGACUCAGUCUUCGUGAUUCAAGAUGAGAGUCUGUCUGAGGCGUGCUUCUCUCAUUGCUGCCAGAGGCCCUUAGUGGUGCUGCUGUGUUUCAGUGGACAACUUUGGUAUCUUACUCAAUUAAAAACUCUCCUUUUGAUUAUCAUUCCAGAGUUUAUCUUGAAAUUUUCUAUAGUUUAUUUUUCUUUAAUUUUUCUUAUAUGCCCAGAACUUUGCUUCUUUGGAUCGUUUCCAUCUUUACUUUCAAAUAGUCAUAAUUUAUAAGCUUUUGCUUACCUCACACUUUUCCA
rnacentral:lncRNA from 1 species